CUAAUUAUAAGACUCUUUUGAUAAUUUUUUUUGUCCCUUUUUAUAAGACCCCUUUGCUAUUUCCAACUACAUUAAUUAUUUCUUUACAUGCAUGCCCCUAUUUAUUAUACAUAAUUUUCUUCAAUCAGCAAUAAAUAUCAUGUUAAAAACAUAAACCAAUUCUCUCUUAAAGGAUAAAAUUGUAAAAACAAUAGUAAUUACAAACAUAUUUAAUAUAAAUAUCCACUAUCUUAAUUCCCGUUAUUUUUU
rnacentral:lncRNA from 1 species